rnacentral:ncRNA from 39 species
UGUACCACCUUGUCGGGUAGCUUAUCAGACUGAUGUUGACUGUUGAAUCUCAUGGCAACAGCAGUCGAUGGGCUGUCUGACAUUUUGGUAUC